GCGAACGCUGGCGGCAGGCCUAAUACAUGCAAGUCGAACGGCUUCUUCGGAAGCAGUGGCGGACGGGUGAGUAACGCGUGGGAACGUGCCCUUUGGUACGGAACAACUGAGGGAAACUUCAGCUAAUACCGUAUGUGCCCUUCGGGGGAAAGAUUUAUCGCCAUUGGAGCGGCCCGCGUUAGAUUAGCUAGUUGGUGGGGUAAAGGCCUACCAAGGCAACGAUCUAUAGCUGGUCUGAGAGGAUGAUCAGCCACACUGGGACUGAGACACGGCCCAGACUCCUACGGGAGGCAGCAGUAGGGAAUCUUGCGCAAUGGGCGAAAGCCUGACGCAGCCAUGCCGCGUGAAUGAUGAAGGUCUUAGGAUUGUAAAAUUCUUUCACCGGGGACGAUAAUGACGGUACCCGGAGAAGAAGCUCCGGCUAACUUCGUGCCAGCAGCCGCCGUAAAAC
rnacentral:rRNA from 1 species